rnacentral:rRNA from 1 species
CUGGUCUUGACAUCCACGGAAGUUUUCAGAGAUGAGAAUGUGCCUUCGGGAACCGUGAGACAGGUGCUGCAUGGCUGUCGUCAGCUCGUGUUGUGAAAUGUUGGGUUAAGUCCCGCAACGAGCGCAACCCUUAUCCUUUGUUGCCAGCGGUCCGGCCGGGAACUCAAAGGAGACUGCCAGUGAUAAACUGGAGGAAGGUGGGGAUGACGUCAAGUCAUCAUGGCCCUUACGACCAGGGCUACACACCGUGCUACAAUGGCGCAUACAAAGAGAAGCGACCUCGCGAGAGCAAGCGGACCUCAUAAAGUGCGUCGUAGUCCGGAUUGGAGUCUGCAACUCGACUCCAUGAAGUCGGAAUCGCUAGUAAUCGUGGAUCAGAAUGCCACGGUGAAUACGUUCCCGGGCCUUGUACACGCCGCCCGUCACACCAUGGGAGUGGGUUGCAAAAGAAGUAGGUAGCUUAACCUUCGGGAGGGCGCUUACCACUUUGUGAUUCAUGACUGGGGUG